GGGAGAGAGAGCCCAGCUGCCGCGGCGAGUUCGCCGGCAACGGCGGAGUCGUCCACCGUGACCCAUCCGUCGGGAUGUGUCACGCUCGCGAGGAAAGUCCCCCCACCCGUUCGGGCGGGUGACCGGACGCAAGUCCGGAGCGGGAGACCGCUGGCUCUGGAACAGAAACGACACGUCUCGGCCCGACCGAUGAUGCGCGCGAACCCGACCGUGAGGAAGGGGAGUUAACCCGCAGAGGGAGGGCGACUCGGAGCGCUGUUGGCGCGAGAGUCGCCAAUAAGUGAACGGCGUUAGCCGUGAACCGCGUGGUCGCUUCGCGACCACGUUAUGUGAGGCGGUAUAAACCGCCGAGCAGGAUCGUAGUCGACGAUCACGGUUCGAAACCGUGGACCGUGUUCGACACGGUCGACUGCGACCGGACGGCCGAGGAUCGAUGGAACGGCGAACCCUCACUGGUGCAAGUCCGCGCCGUGGUAGCCCGAACGCCCGCGGCAUCCCCGCGGACGGCGCGGACGCUCAGCCGAAUGCUGGGACGAACAGAAGGGGGCUUACUCCUCUCACCC
rnacentral:RNase_P_RNA from 1 species